AGUCUUAUAGUCAUAAAUGAUUUUAAAUUGCAAAUUUAAAGGUGAUUGAAUAAUCUAAGGCUU
rnacentral:tRNA from 2 species